CUAUGCAUUCCCAAGUGUGAUGGUGGUAUGGGAUUCAGAGACCUUCACUCAUUUAACUUGGCACUUCUUGCAAAACAAUGUUGGAGAAUGAUUGUGAAUCCUGAAUCUUUUUGUGCUCGGAUCCUGAAGGCAAAAUAUCCGAAUACUGAUCUAUUACAUGCUGGACCAAAAAAUGGCUCCUCGUUCACUUGGCAGAGUAUUCUGGCUGGCUUAAAUACCUUCAAAAGAGGAUACGUUUGGCGUAUUGGAUCAAGGGAGAAUGUAAAUAUUUGGAGGGAUCCUUGGAUUCCUUCAAGUCCAGACAGGAGAGUUAUAACACCUCGAGGCCAUACAGUGAUCUCAAGGGUGGUCGAACUAAUUGACCCAAUCACUACACAAUGGGAUGAGGUUCUGAUUAGAGAUAUCUUUUAUCCAGUGGACGCUACAAGGAUUCUGCAGAUACCACUAAACUUUCAGGACUUUGAUGAUUUCAUCACGUGGCACCUCACAAAGCAUGGAAGAUUUUCGAUUCGAAGUGCAUAUCAUGAGCAAUGGUCUCACAAGUACAGGAGCCAAUCUCAUGGAAAUGUGACAUCAACUAGCACCAUUCAAGCUGUGAUCUGGAAGCAUCGUUGGGAAUUACAAGUGCCACGAAAAAUUCAAAUCUUCUGCUGGCGUGCUCUUCGGGGUAUCAUCCCGUUAAACUCCAUACUAGCUAAUAGACAUAUACCCAUCAGUGGGGCAUGUCCAGUAUGCCACAAGGGGCCUGAAGAUAUGCUACAUAUGUUGUUUCAAUGUGAUCUGGCGAGGAGUCUGUGGUCUGGUCUUGGUCUUCUUGACCACAUCAAUCAUGCAAUACAGAUAGAUAGAUCAGGAUCAACUACUUUGGAAUUCAUUCUCGUGGAACCAGAUUCACCGCUGGAGAUCAUGCCAAAUGUUAACCAAAAGGAAGCUAUUGCAGCAGGAUGCUGGUACUUAUGGUGGCUGCGCCGACGCCAUACACACCAUGACUCAUGCCCUCCUGCUUUUCGGUGGCCUAUUUCGGUCUUAAGCUUGAUUGGAAAUUACAAGUAA
rnacentral:rRNA from 1 species